rnacentral:rRNA from 1 species
AUACGUAGGGGGCGAGCGUUGUCCGGAAUUAUUGGGCGUAAAGGGUUCGUAGGCGGUUAUUUAAGUCAGGUGUGAAAGGCAUAGGCUCAACCUGUGUAAGCACUUGAAACUGAAUGACUUGAGUUAAGGAGAGGAAAGUGGAAUUCCUAGUGUAGCGGUGAAAUGCGUAGAUAUUAGGAGGAAUACCAGUGGCGAAGGCGGCUUCCUGGUCUGUAACUGACACUGAGGCGCGAAAGCGUGGGGAGC